rnacentral:rRNA from 1 species
GAUGAACGCUGGCGGCGUGCUUAACACAUGCAAGUCAAACGAAACACCUUAUUUGAUUUUCUUCGGAACUGAAGAUUUGGUGAUUGAGUGGCGGACGGGUGAGUAACGCGUGGGUAACCUGCCCUGUACAGGGGGAUAACAGUCAGAAAUGACUGCUAAUACCGCAUAAGACCACAGCACCGCAUGGUGCAGGGGUAAAAACUCCGGUGGUACAGGAUGGACCCACGUCUGAUUAGCUGGUUGGUGAGGUAACGGCUCACCAAGGCGACGAUCAGUAGCCGGCUUGAGAGAGUGAACGGCCACAUUGGGACUGAGACACGGCCCAAACUCCUACGGGAGGCAGCAGUGGGGAAUAUUGCACAAUGGGGGAAACCCUGAUGCAGCGACGCCGCGUGAGUGAAGAAGUAUUUCGGUAUGUAAAGCUCUAUCAGCAGGGAAGAAAAUGACGGUACCUGACUAAGAAGCCCCGGCUAACUACGUGCCAGCAGCCGCCGUAACAC